UUAGCUCAGUUGGUAGAGCAUCUGACUUUUAAUCAGAGGGUCACAGGUUCGAGCCCUGUA
rnacentral:tRNA from 1 species